CCCUGUGAGACCACCAGUGGCGAAGGCGUCUUACCAGAACGGGUCCGACGGUGAGGGACGAAAGCUGGGGGCACGAACCGGAUUAGAUACCCGGGUAGUCCCAGCUGUAAACGAUGCUCGUUAGGUGUCAGGAACGGUGCGACUGUUUCUGGUGCCGAAGGGAAGCCGUGAAACGAGCCACCUGGGAAGUACGGCCGCAAGGCUGAAACUUAAAGGAAUUGGCGGGGGAGCACUACAACGGGUGGAGCCUGCGGUUUAAUUGGACUCAACGCCGGAAAACUCACCGGGGGCGACAGCAAUAUGUAGGUCAGGUUAAAGGUCCUACCGGAAUCGCUGAGGGGAGGUGCAUGGCCGUCGUCAGUUCGUACUGUGAAGCAUCCUGUUAAGUCAGGCAACGAGCAAGACCCGUGCCCACUGUUACCAGCAUAUCCUUUAUGGAUGAUGGGGACUCUGUGGGGACCGCUGCUGCUAAAGCAGAGGAAGGUGCGGGCUACGGUAGGUCAGUAUGCCCCGAAUCUCCCGGGCUACACGCGGGCUACAAUGGUUGGGACAAUGGGUAUCUACUCCGAAAGGAGUUGGCAAUCUCUUAAACCCAAUCGUAGUUCGAAUUGAGGGCUGUAACUCGCCACUCAUGAAGC
rnacentral:rRNA from 1 species